rnacentral:lncRNA from 7 species
GGCCAUAGGCGAGCAGAAACACCGGAGAGCGCCGAGAUGAGAGAGAUGGGGGACCGGCCGUAGCAGGGCUCGACCUUGUCGUCGUCCCGUUCCGGGCAUGCGCCCGCUCGUGGGAGCCACACCAACGUUGAACCAAAGGUGUGUGUGCUUGAGAUAGUGAGUAGUUGCGUGGGAAACACGUGCCCCUGCCAUCAACCGAACUCCGUCGAUGGUCCACCGUACACCAUGGUCGGACCUGCUACCAUCUUCUCCCAUUGGUUAGACGUCGCAGUCUUUGUUCGAUUUGGUCUCCACGUUGCGUUGCAUCUGUUACCAGGGAUAGCGGGGCAUUGGGUGACGAACUGGGAACUCUGGUGAGUCCUCUACCGCGGGCUGCGAGCGGGCGCCACCGUCUGCUGCUCAUCGGAAUAGACGAUGAACACUUAUCGUCCAUCUGACAUUGUGCGGCUACGAUUUGAUCAGAGUAUACCGGUUCGCCAAAUAAAAGUAGAACCGUCGGUUCUCAGGCAUGCGUCCGAGAUCGAGUGUUGGCGUGGACGUCUCGUUGACCAUGGAUCUACGAUCUAACGGUUCAGUGUUAGGCUGUCUCCAGCAACGUCCUCUAUAUUCAUCCUCUAUAUCUGUCCUUUACAGUCUCCUCUAAAAGAUUUCAUCCUCUAUAUCUCAUUUCUCUCCAACAACGUCCUCUAAAUCACGUUCUCUAUACUCAAAUACUCAUAUUAAAGACAUUUUUUUAAUU